GACAAAGAUGGCUGGAGCAAGUCCUUCCUUACAACAUUAUGCAAAGCAUCUAGGUUACAGAAUACUGCCUCACAAAAUGGAAGCAGCAGACGGUCGACGAGCAGGGAUACCUACUUUGUCAACACCACGACCAGCUGGCACAAUUGGGGACGGCUAUGGAAGAGGCUCUUCGCAGUGUUCAACAUCUCGAACAUACCCGAGAGGCGUUGCCUUCAACUAGCGGAGGAUACACUACCACCAGUCAACCUAGCACACCAGCCCAUUCAGCAAACUGUGCAGGUCAGCGAUGUCCCUCCCGGAUAAAUAUGACAGCACACCAUGUAAAUGCUGUGGCUUCCGACUACAGUACUCGCUCUACUUUUCGCACCAGAUGGGAGCUCCUACCACUGACAGGUCCAGGGUUGCCACAGUUAUUUCUCUGCUGACUGGGCGGGCAUUGGAAUGGGCCAUAGACGUCUGGGAGAGAGGAGGAACUGGAUUCGUAUGAGGGGUUCAUGGCUCGGUUCAGAGAUCUUCGAUCAUCCACUGGAGGGCAGAGAGAGGGGUGAGUGCCUACUCCAACUACGGAGGACCAGACGGCUGCCGAGUACGCGCUCACCUUCUGGACAGUAGCAGCAUCCAGCGGCUGGACUGUGCGAGAAGGUUCAGAUGGAACUGGCCUGUCGAUGACAACCUCUGCUUGAAAGCACUCAUCGCGAUGGCCAUCCACUUGGAUAACCUUCUUCGGGAGCAUCGGCACUCAUCGCUUCUCUCCCUCCCUCAGUGAAAACUUUGUAUCAGAGCCUGAACCCAUGGCGGUAGGGGUCACUUGCCUCCCCGCGGCAGAGCAAUGCAGACUGCGACAGCUGGGGCUGUCUCUAUUGUGGUCAAGGAGGGCACCUGCUCCAGCAGUGUCCGAUAUGGCCCAACUCGGAUCCACGAGAGUAGAGGGAUGUUCACGUGAUCUUUUACCUCCUGGGGCAGGUCAAUAAUGGAUUCCUGUGCCGCGGGGAACUUUAUUGACCAGACCCUUGCCUCUCAACUUCACCUCAUACCCGCUCUCCUCUCCUUUCGCGGUUCAAGCCCUCGAUAAUCAGCAACUAGGUUCCGGGACCAUCAGACACGUCAUCAAACCACUCACUGCGCCCCCACGCAGAUGCCGCUACCCUCUGUCGGUGGCUGAAACCCAGGCCAUGGAAGAGUACAUCCAUGAGGCGCUCCAACUAGGUUUCAUCCGCAGGUCCACUUCUCCUGUGUCAGCAGGUUAAUUCUUCAUGGCCAAGGAUGGAGGGUUACGCCCAUGUAUUGAUUAGAGGACUCAAUGAAGUCGCCACCAAGUACCGUUACCCUCUCCCAUUGGUGCCCGGCAGCUAUCAAAGAGCUCCGCGGGGCCCAGUUCUUUACCAAAUUGGACCUACGGAGUGCAUACAAUCUCAUCCGCAUCUGGGAGGGGAAUGAAUGGAAGACAGCUUUUAGCACAAUAUCUGGUCACUACGAGUGUUCCAGGCAUUCGUCAACGAGGUGUUUCGGGACAUGCUCUGACGCCAGGUGGUCGUGUAUAGCGACAUCCUGGUUUACUCGGCAACCUUGGAGGGUCACAUUGAGUGGAUGAUAAAUGAAGACCCCGAUGAGAGACCUACAGUGGAGUAAACCCUGACUCAUCCCUCCUUCUGGAAACCACAGAGGAGAGUUGGGAAUGAGAGGUCGGGAAGUGUCAUGAUGCUGACCCAGAGCUUCUCGACGUGCUGUGGAGAGAACCUUCUGUCAGUGGAGAUCCAAGCUGCCCUCUGCUUUGAUGAAAAAGAUGGCUGGCAGAAAGCCCUUCCCUGAGAACAUGUUGGGGUUACUACGCUUCAUACGCAACCUCCAUGAGCACUAUGCUGAGGAUUUAGCAUCUGACCUGAUGGUCCCUGAUCUCUUUGGAUGCGUCUACAUGUUGGCCAAGAAACAGGGGUGUGUCAAAAAAAGACAGUUAUGUUGCUCUUUGAUAGCCUUUAUUAUAUUGAGAGGUGCAUUAACAUUUUAGGGUGGUUAAUAGAAAACUGUUGAUGAUCAAACCUAGGUAGGAAACGGUUAUUAACAUUUUAUUUUGCAGUGUUUGGUAAUUUAGUAUGCAAAUAAUGAUGACUCUCCUACAUAGUUUGUCAAAUGCAGUGUACCUGCUGAGAGAUGGAGGGGAUGAGAGGUGAGAACAUCAAUCUCAUCUUCAUGUAUGACAUUACAUGCAAGAUCUAACCACAUGUGCAAGUAAUUAACCUUUGUUAUUCAAGAUCCCAUUUACUUUAACAUUUGAAUAGCAGUUUUCACACUUUUUUUAAAACAUUUUGUUAAACUUUUUAGAUAUACAUUCCUGAAUUGAAGCAUGGGACCAAAUCUGUCAGUUUUCCAUGCUUACGGACACGACUUGCCAUGUCGGGUACUUGAACAUGAUCAUUAAUAUUGUCACUAGGUAUUUAAUGUUUUUAAGGUUUAACUAAAUCCUUUUUGCCAUGGUAUGACAUGUUUUAUAUUUGUAGAUGAAAUUCAACACAAGAUGUGUUGAAGGUGCUGGACUGGGAAAUGGGAAGCAGAUGGAGAUGCUGUGGUCGUAUCUGAGGCACUUUGGGAAGGUCACUAGAUGACGCCGUCCCAUCGUAUUGACCUCCUGACUGAUGCCCUUCACCAUGGGAAAAGAUGUGCCAGAGGCAACUGGACGAAAGUUGCAACAGAAGCAGAAUGGAAAAUGGCAGAAAUUGCAGUCUCUAACAGGGCCCAGCAGGAAAGUGGAGAUGGAAUAGCUGUUGCUCAGCUUAUGCAGAUCGAAAACUGAAGACGAUGGAGAGGAAGAACGGCAUCCUCCAUCGAUGGUCCCCCACCAGCAGUCUCUUCCAGACUGCACUCCACAGACUGCAGAGUAACAGAUUGAAGACCAAUUUGGAAGGAACAUUCAGUCUGGUGCUAGAACGGAGGUUACUCUGUGGCCUGAAGAGAUAAUAUGCAGGAAAUAUAUAUUCAACAAUAGGAACAAGUCAACUCAUAUCAGUUCUAUGAUAUUUCUGGAUGGUCAAGGUAUUGCCAACCGCCUGUCCAAAAAGCUUGCCACGGUCGGUAGUAGCAUACUCUUUAAAAAAAAAACGUUUUUUAAGGACUACAACCUGAGACCAGGUUUUUCCUCACAGCUCUCACAAGUCCUGGUGUAUGAGGAUGCAGUGCAGGUGGACAGCACUGUUUGGUCCUGGAGAGCAGGAAGAGCAGAGGAUGAUGGGGAGUUUCACUUCAAGCAAAGGCUCUCUGUGCUCCAUUCCCUCAGAACGGGCGUGUGAAGAUAACUGGUACAUUGAGGAUGAAGCCAUCACUGCCAAGAAGUUCUACUCACAUGAGCAGGAACUGAUCGUGGAGGCCUUACAACAUUACACAGAGCAAGAUGGAUUUAGUCUUGGGGCAAGAGCUGUCCUUGCUGGAAUGCUUGCUGAGCAUCAGCAUGCAGAAGGACAAAGUGAAUUGUUCAGAAGUGCUUUUUUGAGGGCAGCGGUAUAAACAUUGAAGUGGAGGACAUUGAGGAAGUGGAUGAGGAUGAUGACUAUGAUGGGGAUUACGACAACGAUGGUGAUAUUGAUGGAGGAAAAAAUGUAUGAGGCUGAGUGUGUCUAAUUGUUGUUUGUUUCUUGUCCAUUCUGUUUUAAUGUAUGUAAUUCAGUGGUGUACAGUAUUUAAGU
rnacentral:lncRNA from 1 species